rnacentral:rRNA from 1 species
AGCCUGUUGUAUUUUAUAAUAGGUGAUUUCUGCCCGGUGUGGUUAUAAACGGCCGCGGUAUUUUGACCGUGCAAAGGUAGCAUAAUCAUUUGUUCUUUAAUUGGGGACUGGAAUGAAAGAAAUUUUUGAGGUUCUUGCUGUCUCUUUUUUGUGUUGGAAGUUGCUUUUUGUGUGAAGAAGCAUGAUUAAUAAAAAAAGACAAGAAGACCCUAUUAAGCUUUAUUUGUGAUUGUGUUAUUUGUUGUUUUGUAAAUAAAAAAAGUAACUGUGAAUAAAUUUGGUUGGGGUGACUUAAAAGGAGUAAAUUAUCCUCUUUUUGGUAAUAAACAUUUGUGUUUGUUUAGUGAGCCAGCAUUGUUGAUGGUUAGAAUUAGUUACUAUAGGGAUAACAGCGUAAUUUUUUUGGAGAGUUCUUAUUGAGAAAAAAGUUUGCGACCUCGAUGUUGACUUGUUAUUUCCUGUUAAGGUGCAGCAGUUGUAAGGGUUAGUCUGUUCGACUAUUAAAAUAAC